AUUGAACGCUGGCGGCAGGCCUAACGCAUGCAAGUCGAACGGUAACAGGAAACAGCUUGCUGUUUCGCUGACGAGUGGCGGACGGGUGAGUAAUGUCUGGGAAACUGCCUGAUGGAGGGGGAUAACUACUGGGAACGGUAGCUAAUACCGCAUAACGUCGCAAGACCAAAGAGGGGGACCUUCGGGCCUCUUGCCAUCGGAUGUGCCCAGAGGGGAUUAGCUAGUAGGUGGGGUAACGGCUCACCUAGGCGACGAUCCCUAGCUGGUCUGAGAGGAUGACCAGCCACAAUGGAGCGGAGACACGGUCCAGGCUCCUACGUGAGGCAGCAGUGGGUAAUAUUGCACAAUGGGCGCAAGCCUGAUGCAGCCAUGCCGCGUGUAUGAAGAAGGCCUUCGGGUUGUAAAGUACUUUCAGCGGGGAGGAAGGGAGUAAAGUUAAUACCUUUGCUCAUUGACGUUACCCGCAGAAGAAGCACCGGCUAACUCCGUGCCAGCCGCCGCGGUAA
rnacentral:rRNA from 1 species